UACGUAGGGGGCGGGCGUUGUCCGGAUUUAUUGGGCGUAAAGAGCGUGUAGGCGGCCAGGUAGGUCCGUUGUGAAAACUCGAGGCUCAACCUCGAGACGUCGAUGGAAACCAUCUGGCUAGAGUCCGGAAGAGGAGAGUGGAAUUCCUGGUGUAGCGGUGAAAUGCGCAGAUAUCAGGAAGAACACCUAUGGCGAAGGCAGCUCUCUGGGACGGUACUGACGCUGAGACGCGAAAGCGUGGGGAGCGAACAGG
rnacentral:rRNA from 1 species